UCGGGUCAGACGCUCUUCCCUAAAGAAGAAAAGGAUAUUUAUAGCUGGGUAGGACCAUAACAGGGAAAUCUCCAGGCUGCAGUACCUGUCAGAUGAAGUUACUUAUGGCCCCAAUAGAAAUAGCCAACCUGGAACCCACUACAGGGAAGCAAAAAGGGGGAGAAGGAUAAUCAAGUUUCCCGAACUUGGCCUGAAGUCAGAUGUGAUUUGAUUUGGAUUGCAGACAGCCUGGGGAAGUGGCUCAGAGGCAACUUGGAGAGUUGGACUCGGUUUCUGGCCUCGCAGAAGAGAAACCCUGAUGCUGUGUUCGCAUUCCCGUGGCUGGGGGUGAUCUCUGGUCUGUCUCAGCAGCCUGGAGCCUGGAUGGAUCUCCCCAGGGUCUUCUCCCACCACGUGAGACCUUGUGUACUGGAUGAGGAAGCGCAGGGCAGGUGAUAAAGGAAGGGCGAUGAUGCUGGGCUACGUCAUGGUUCUCACGGGAAACAUCUGGACUCAGAGAAGUGAAGGACACCACAAGCCCAUGAGGCUGAGGCCCAGCAGUGGCCUCGAGAGGACUACUAUAGCAAUCUCCUCUGUGGGGGAAGAAAGAUCCAGCUGAUCAGUGCUAGAGGCUUGUAGACAAAUGGUUCUUGCUCCUCCAGACUGUCUCUUGUAAU